UGGGGAAUAUUGCACAAUGGGGGAAACCCUGAUGCAGCGACGCCGCGUGAGUGAAGAAGUAUUUCGGUAUGUAAAGCUCUAUCAGCAGGGAAGAAAAUGACGGUACCUGACUAAGAAGCCCCGGCUAACUACGUGCCAGCAGCCGCGGUAAUACGUAGGGGGCAAGCGUUAUCCGGAUUUACUGGGUGUAAAGGGAGCGUAGACGGCUAGGCAAGUCUGAAGUGAAAGCCCGGGGCUCAACCCCGGGACUGCUUUGGAAACUGUCAGGCUAGAGUGCUGGAGAGGUAAGUGGAAUUCCUAGUGUAGCGGUGAAAUGCAUAGAUAUUAGGAGGAACACCAGUGGCGAAGGCGGCUUACUGGACAGUAACUGACGUUGAGGCUCGAAAGCGUGGGGAGCAAACA
rnacentral:rRNA from 2 species